rnacentral:rRNA from 1 species
GCCAAGACCAACGCCCACACCACCACACUAACAUGACAAAUACACAUUAAACCAAACCAUUUGCCACAUCAAGUAUACGCGAUAGAACCACACACCAUCGGCGCCAUAGUAGACAGUACCGCAAGGGACCAAUGAAAGACCAACUGAAACACCACCGCACAAAAUAGCAGAGACCCACACUCGUACCUCCUGCCUCAUGAUCUAUCAAGCACCACGCAGACAAAGUGCCCUGCAAAUCUGCCCACCCGAACCCGGACGAGCUAUCUUACAGCAACCACAUAGAGUGAACCCCCCCCUGUGGCAAAAGGGCGGGAAGACUGCAGGAUAGUGGUGAAACGCCAACCGUGCCCGGCGAUAGCUGGUUGCUCAUUAACCGAACCUAAGUUCACCUAUAGGAGCCCCCACACCAACCCACUAUGCCACUGUUUGACCCUAUAAGCUAUUCAAUGGGGGUACAGCCCCAUUGAACUUGGAAACAGCCAAUGACAGAGAACCAAGCAUCAACCACCAAAACACCUGUAGGCCCUUAAGCAGCCACCAAAAACUGCGUCACAGCACCAACCAAACACAAUCCCACAAUAAAAGCCCCCACCCUGCUACCAACUGAGCCAUCCUACCAGCACAGUAGGAGCAACACUGCUAGAACUAGUAAUAAGAGCCCACUCUCUCACCCGCACCCCCUUGAGCCAGAACUAGAUACCCUACUGGCACUUAACCCAGACCACACACGGCCAACAAAACCAACCACAUUAAACUACUUUUAACAACCACUGUCACCCCAACACAGGUGUGCUAGAAAGAUUGAUUAAACGUCACAAAAGGAACUCGGCUAACCCUGCCCCAACUGUUUACCAAAAACACCGCCUUUAGCAAACUACAAGUAUUAAAGGUCCCGCCUGCCCAGUGAGUAAAAACUUAAACGGCCGCGGUAUCCUAACCGUGCAAAGGUAGCGCAACCACUUGUCCUCUAAAUAGGGACCUGUAUGAAUGGCUAAAUGAGGGCCAAACUGUCUCCUACGACCAAUCAAUGAACCUGAUCUUCUAGUACAAAAGCUAGAAUACACCCAUAAGACGAGAAGACCCUGUGGAGCUUAAAAUAUUAAUACUACCAACCCCACCACCCAAACAGGCCCACACCACCAAAAUAGUAAACAUUUUUAGUUGGGGCGACUACGGAACAAAACCUAACUUCCACGACACGGACACUCCAUCCAAUAAAGGUCAACAAACCAACAUACCACUUGACCCAGUAACACUGAUCAACGGACCAAGUUACCCCAGGGAUAACAGCGCCAUCCUCUUCAAGAGCCCAUAUCGCCAAGAGGGUUUACGACCUCGAUGUUGGAUCAGGACUUCCAGGUGGUGCAACCGCUACCAACGGUUCGUUUGUUCAACGAUUAACAGUCCUACGUGAUCUGAGUUCAGACCGGAGCAAUCCAGGUCGGUUUCUAUCUAUGUUAAACUUUCCUCAGUACGAAAGGACCAAGAAAGCAGCAUCACCAGUAAAACCACAUGCUGACAAACCAAAGCUGAAGUAAACUUAAGCACUACAGCCAAAGUCAGCCCAAGACAAGGGCUU